UUACUGACCAACUGAGUUAGUAAAUGGGUGGCGAGUUGAGUUAGUUCCCAUAGAUAUAGGAUGAUUAUGUCAAUAAAGUUAGAAGGUUGGGUUUAAUUCAUAAAAAAUAAUAAUAAUAAUAACAAAAAAGUAAUGUUGCCAUGCCAAACGAAUUAAAUAUACAGGUCAAAUGUCCAACAAGGUUACUAGAUUUAGAUCAGGUACAAACAAUAAGCACUUAUGUAUUGCCAAGUAUAAUAUGGCCUAUAUCUUAACUGUCUAAUUAUGGUUUUUUAAACUGUCAUUAUCUCCUCCAGAUUCACUUGCAAGGAAAGCAGCACCACUGUGGAUUUUAUUUCAAAUCUGAUUCUUUCUUUUUAUCUCCUUUACAGAAAAGCAAAUCCAUAUAUACCCGUUACUACAUUCCCUUUUUCCUUUAUUUUCCUUAGUCUGUUUGUACCAAAAGAAAGAAAAAAAGAGAAUCUAGAGAUCAUUUGGCUGUCUUUCUUCUCUUCUUUAAUGUGUGACAUCUGGGUUUCUUGAAGAGAGUUCAGUUUAUUUUUCCAAUCAUAUUAGCUUUUCUCCAAGGGUUAAUUUCACCACAAGGAAGAAGUAUAGUUGUAUCAAUAUUUGAUUAGUUCUGCUAUGGCAGAAAGCAGUAUAUCAAUGGUGCCCGAACCUGAUAUUUCUGAACUAGAAGAAGCAAUUUAUGCACAGCAACAGCUUCUGCAGAAGCUUAAUGCCGAAUUGGAUGUGGAAAGAGAAGCGGCAGGUUCCGCAGCUAGUGAAGCUUUAUCAAUGAUAUUGCGUUUACAAGGAGAAAAGGCUUCGCUAAAGAUGGAAGCGAGUCAAUAUAAGAGGAUGGCAGAGGAAAAGAUGUGUCAUGCUGAAGAGGCUCUAGCAGUUUUUGAGGAUCUGAUAUAUCAGAGAGAAAUGGAGAUUGCAUCUCUCGAAUUCCAAGUUCAGGCUUAUAGGUACAGACUCCUGAGCAUGGGUUUUAAUGAUUUGGGUGUUUAUGAAAAUAGAUUUCCUGAGAAUCUAUUAAUGCAAAGAAAUGAUACUUUGUUUAUGGAAAAGGGUGUUAACAGCAAUGCCAGGAGAGUCAACUCUCUGCCUCAAGUUGCAGUCAAAGAGGCCAAUCAGAAGAAGAGUGCUACCGAAAGGAAAAGAUCUGCGACUCCUAAGGCAGAUUCAUUGCCAAGCCCUGUUGAAGAAAAUACUAUUCCGGAAACCGAUGAUUCAGAGAAGAAACUUGGCAGCUGUGUGAGUGUAGACCUUAAUUCAUGUUGGGAGCAGAUAAAGAUGUUGGAUGAGCGGAUGAAAGAGUUUUCGGAUACUAAAGACUCUAGACGAAACAAACAAUCAAUCUGGAAGGGUGGUGGUACUUGGUCUCCUUCGUUAUUUUCACAAGUGAGCAUAGGCACAUCAAUUGAUGCUGCUACUACAGAAGUAAAUGAUGUUAUUCCAGAUCAAGUUAAGCACCAUGACAGUUCACAUAAAGUGGAGGACAGUCUUAAUUCUGGGUGUUCAUCAAAUGUUCAGGAUAUCUUUGAAGUCCCACAAACUACAGAGAGUCGCAAAGCUAAGAAGGAUUACAGUAAAUUGACUUUGAAAUGUGAUAAGAGGCCUGGAAAGCCAGAUUUGGUCACUGAGGACACACUCGAAUCACUGAAUAUGCAUGAAACAGACCGAGUAAAGGCAAUGUUGCUGUCAGCAAGCCUUGAGAAGAACUCACCGAACUUAAGAGUUAUUGAACGCUGUGUUUCGCCAGUUUUCCAAUCAGUUAACGUAGGAACUUCUCCACCUGAAUUGAACCAGCUGAGUCGUAGAAUUGAGAGGCUUGAGAGAGCCAGGAACAGUGCGAGACAUGAAAUUGUCACUGUAGGAGAAGAGGAGUUGAAUUUAUUGAAGGAAAUACGUGAACAGCUCAAAUCCAUAGAGUCAGAGAUGAAAACCUGGAGAGCUAAUAAGCCCCUUUUCCCACUUGAACCGUCUCUAGAUCCUCUCCAAGAGGCGAUGGUAUACUUCUGGAUGUAAUUGAUCAUAUCCUCGUACACAGCUGCUGCUAACAUUGAUCAUUCAUAUACCGUCAGGUUCUGAUAUCCGCUGCCAGCAAAAGAAAGGACUCUGUAAGAAAUGGAAUGGUCGGAACAUAACAGAAAAAUAUACUUUGGUUGAGUUCUGAUUUGCCAUAUGAAAAUGCAUUUGUUGUAGAGAUUUCAUACUGUAAUUAGUCACAGAAGCUUGUUAUCUUUAAAUUGUUUCAGGCAUGCUAUCAGUAUGCUUAUACUGGAGAAUUAUAUGGAUUGUGACUGUAAAGUAACAUACGUACCUCAUCAUACUUGGGUUCGAAGUCUGCACGAUGGUUCUUUUUUCCAAGUUCACAAAUACAGUUACCUAGCACUCAGAUCAUCGAGUACUUGCCAAAUUGUGGGUAUCCGGAGUGAUGAAACAUCAUGGCAGGAACUUAUGUUUCUAUGUUCAAUAAGGUGUAAUGCCUGUAACAUACCAUAUACUUGGGAUUGUGCUCUAGUUUGAAAUCUACAUGGUGUUUCUGUGUUCCAUAUUCAAAUAAAGUCAUCUGGCGUUA